UACGUAGGGUGCAAGCGUUGUCCGGAAUUAUUGGGCGUAAAGAGCUCGUAGGCGGUUUGUCGCGUCUGCUGUGAAACCCGAGGCUCAACCUCGGGCCUGCAGUGGGUACGGGCAGACUAGAGUGCGGGUAGGGGAGAUUGGAAUUCCUGGUGUAGCGGUGGAAUGCGCAGAUAUCAGGAGGAACACCGGUGGCGAAGGCGGGUCUCUGGGCCGAUACUGACGCUGAGGAGCGAAAGCGUGGGGAGCGAACAGG
rnacentral:rRNA from 1 species